CUGUCAAGUUCUAUGAAUAAAAAGGAACUUCUGCGCUCCAUAUCAUCCUCAACAAAUGGCUCGGUUGAAUCCAUUCAGAGAUCUUCAGACGUUUGCCCAGAGAAACCCUCAAAAAUGGGACAGUUAUGUGCAGUGCACAAUGUUUGCUAAGGACAAAAAAGCAGCUGACAAUGCAGUUCAGUCCUUAUUUUUUACUGUCUGGCAGAGAAGCCAGAUUUUCCUCAGAGGUUGCAGUGAACUAUGACGUUUGGACAGAAACUGUGGAACAACUGGUAAGGAACGAGAAACUCGUUGAAGGGCGGCUGAUGCCACACAGGAGAAUGGACUUCGCAUGGGAAGCUGAGAACUAUAACACAAUAGCGGCCGGGGGUAUCUCCUCUUCAACCUCUCCAGCAUCACCUCAUUAUCAAUAAUAUCUUUAGGUUCAUAUUUUGG